UCCGCAAUUAGUGCACAGGCUCAUGAUA
rnacentral:sRNA from 1 species